rnacentral:rRNA from 1 species
AUUGAACGCUGGCGGCAUGCCUUACACAUGCCAGUCGAACGGCAGCACGGGUGCUUGCACCUGGUGGCGAGUGGCGAACGGGUGAGUAAUACAUCGGAACAUGUCCUGUAGUGGGGGAUAGCCCGGCGAAAGCCGGAUUAAUACCGCAUACGAUCUACGGAUGAAAGCGGGGGACCUUCGGGCCUCGCGCUAUAGGGUUGGCCGAUGGCUGAUUAGCUAGUUGGUGGGGUAAAGGCCUACCAAGGCGACGACCAGAAGCUGGUCUGAGAGGACGACCAGCCACACUGGGACUGAGACACGGCCCAGACUCCUACGGGAGGAAGCAGUGGGGAAUUUUGGACAAUGGGCGAAAGCCUGAUCCAGCAAUGCCGCGUGUGUGAAGAAGGCCUUCGGGUUGUAAAGCACUUUUGUCCGGAAAGAAAUACUUGGCCCUAAUACGGUCGGGGGAUGACGGUACCGGAAGAAUAAGCACCGGCUAACUACGUG